rnacentral:rRNA from 1 species
UACGUAGGGUGCAAGCGUUGUCCGGAUUUAUUGGGUUUAAAGGGUGCGUAGGCGGCCCUGUAAGUCAGUGGUGAAAUACUCCAGCUUAACUGGAGGGGUGCCAUUGAUACUGCAGGGCUUGAGUUAAGUUGAAGUUGGCGGAAUUGACGGUGUAGCGGUGAAAUGCUUAGAUAUCGUCAAGAACACCGAUAGUGAAGACAGCUAACUAAACUUUUACUGACGCUGAGGCACGAAAGCGUGGGGAGCAAACAGG